rnacentral:rRNA from 1 species
GACGAACCGAGCGAACGUUGUUCGGAAUCACUGGGCUUAAAGGGCGCGUAGGCGGGUGCUCAAGUCUGUGGUGAAAUCCUCCGGCUCAACCGGAGAACUGCCAUGGAUACUGGGUGCCUCGAGGGUGAUAGGGGUAUGCGGAACUAUCGGUGGAGCGGUGAAAUGCGUUGAUAUCGAUAGGAACUCCGGUGGCGAAGGCGGCAUACUGGACCGAGAUUGACGCUGAGGCGCGAAAGCCAGGGGAGCAAACGGG